AAGUCCGCUAACGAGCGCAACCCUCGUCGUAUGUUAUAUGUGUCAUACGAGACUGCCGGUAAAAGCCGGAGGAAGGUGAGGAUGAUGUCAAGUCAGCAUGACCUUUAUAUCCAGGGCUACACACACGCUACAAUGGUCUGUACAAUGGGUAGCCAAGCCGCGAGGCGGAGCCAAGUCCUGAAAAGCAAGGCCUCAGUUCAGAUUGCAGUCUGCAACUCGACUGCAUGAAGCCGGAGUUGCUAGUAACCGCAGGUCAGCAAUACUGCGGUGAAUACGUUCCCGGGUCCUU
rnacentral:rRNA from 1 species